GAAGCAUCGGUGAUGAGAGCAUCCAAAAUGUUAUCUGUGCACUUUGAUUGUUAGUGAAGAAACUUAUGGGGAACAGAUAUCUCUUAGUUGCUC
rnacentral:snoRNA from 1 species